AUCCAAGCUGUCUUUACCCACCCUCUUUCCCAUUUUUUUUUCUGCUCACUCACCCGAACUAACCUCCCUCCUUUCGCCAGCUACGGGGAAGACAGGACCUACAAAGCACCUUUCGCCAGUGCUGUAAAUGGCUUUCCAAUCUCCAUUUGCCAGCUCCAAAAAGAUCGAGCUCUCUCUCUCUCUCUCUCUCUCUGCCCGUCGGUCUUUCUUCCUUUCUAGCUUGCCAGCCACUGACCACCAAAUAGCCUUCCCUUUCCUGGUGCCGUUCGAAUCUCUCUCUCCUCCCUCUAUCGGUAACCACCCAAAUUAGCUUCAGAUCUCUCCCAACGGCAGCGUAAAAACCCCCUAAACUGCCCUCCUCUAACUGGCGAUAGGAGGCUCGCAACUCUCCUUCCUUCGCUCACUCUCCAACCGCGGGGCAAACCCCCAAAACCUUCUUUUUUAACCGGCUAUCCCUUUAUAUCCCUUUUUUAACCCCCAAAACCUUUUGCUACAAUGCCCCCUCCCUUUAUACUCGUUUGUGGCUUCUGGAGGGGGCACGCUCCACUACUUUGCCAAACGUGAGUUUUUUGCGUCUGGCACUGUAGUGGUGGUAUUGGCAAGGGCAUCCGCCCUCUGCCAAUACUCUCUUUUUUUAUAAUAUUCUAAUUAUUCAGUUAAUUAAUUUUUAAUUAAUAUUUAAUUUUGAUUUAUUAUUUGUCAAAAUUUAAGUGUCUACAGUAUGCUUAUUCCCUUCUUGUUCACUCACUAGGUUUAUACUCACCGUUUUCAACUUCAUGUUUUCAGAUCAUGAGGCAGCUAGUAACUAGAUCGAAGUGUCUUCGUAUAUUCGACCUUGGUAGGUGUCUCGGCAUUCAGUAGUUGUACAUUUAUCCGAGUCUCUCUGCUGGAAGUCGAGUAUUCUUUUGUUGUGUAUAGACAAACCUAAUGUAAAUUAUUAAGAUACAUGUUGUAGACAAUUUAUAUACACUUGUUUAGUAUGCCAGUAUAAGGUGACAAUGUUUAAUAUUAUUUUGAUCCUAAGUUAUGAAAUGUGACUUAACAGUUUAUGAUAGAAUGAUGAACAUGAUAGAUUAAUAGGCUUGUUUGGGCUUAGUGGACUACGUCCAUUAGACCCAUGCACAGGUUAUGGCCCAGAA
rnacentral:lncRNA from 1 species